ACAACGGAGAGUUUGAUCCUGGCUCAGGAUGAACGCUGGCGGCGUGCUUAACACAUGCAAGUCGAACGAACCUUCGGGUUAGUGGCGGACGGGUGAGUAACGCGUGAGAAUCUGCCCUCAGGAGGGGGAUAACAGCUGGAAACGGCUGCUAAUACCCCAUAUGCCGCGAGGUGAAAUGAAUUUCGCCUGAGGAUGAGCUCGCGUCUGAUUAGCUAGUUGGUGUGGGUAAUGGCUCACCAAGGCAUCGAUCAGUAGCUGGUCUGAGAGGAUGAUCAGCCACACUGGGACUGAGACACGGCCCAGACUCCUACGGGAGGCAGCAGUGGGGAAUUUUCCGCAAUGGGCGAAAGCCUGACGGAGCAACGCCGCGUGAGGGAUGAAGGCCUCUGGGCUGUAAACCUCUUUUAUCAAGGAAGAAGAUCUGACGGUACUUGAUGAAUAAGCCACGGCUAAUUCCGUGCCAGCAGCCGCGGUAAUACGGGAGUGGCAAGCGUUAUCCGGAAUUAUUGGGCGUAAAGCGUCCGCAGGCGGCCCUUCAAGUCUGCUGUUAAAAAGUGGAGCUUAACUCCAUCAUGGCAGUGGAAACUGAGGGGCUUGAGUGUGGUAGGGGCAGAGGGAAUUCCCGGUGUAGCGGUGAAAUGCGUAGAUAUCGGGAAGAACACCAGUGGCGAAGGCGCUCUGCUGGGCCAUCACUGACGCUCAUGGACGAAAGCCAGGGGAGCGAAAGGGAUUAGAUACCCCUGUAGUCCUGGCCGUAAACGAUGAACACUAGGUGUCGGGGGAAUCGACCCCCUCGGUGUCGUAGCCAACGCGUUAAGUGUUCCGCCUGGGGAGUACGCACGCAAGUGUGAAACUCAAAGGAAUUGACGGGGGCCCGCACAAGCGGUGGAGUAUGUGGUUUAAUUCGAUGCAACGCGAAGAACCUUACCAGGGUUUGACAUCCUGCGAAUCUCUUGGAAACGAGAGAGUGCCUUCGGGAACGCAGUGACAGGUGGUGCAUGGCUGUCGUCAGCUCGUGUCGUGAGAUGUUGGGUUAAGUCCCGCAACGAGCGCAACCCACGUCUUUAGUUGCCAGCAUUUAGUUGGGCACUCUAGAGAGACCGCCGGUGAUAAACCGGAGGAAGGUGUGGAUGACGUCAAGUCAUCAUGCCCCUUACAUCCUGGGCUACACACGUACUACAAUGCUACGGACAAAGGGCAGCAAGUUCGCGAGGACAAGCAAAUCCCAUAAACCGUGGCUCAGUUCAGAUCGUAGGCUGCAACUCGCCUACGUGAAGGAGGAAUCGCUAGUAAUCGCAGGUCAGCAUACUGCGGUGAAUACGUUCCCGGGCCUUGUACACACCGCCCGUCACACCAUGGAAGUUGGCCACGCCCGAAGCCGUUACUCCAACCCUUGUGGAGGAGGACGUCGAAGGUGGGGCUGAUGACUGGGGUGAAGUCGUAACAAGGUAUCCGUACCGGAAGGUGCGGAUGGAUCACCUCCUAA
rnacentral:rRNA from 2 species